rnacentral:rRNA from 1 species
AUUGAACGCUGGCGGCAGGCUUAACACAUGCAAGUCGAGCGGGGUGAUGGUGCUUGCACUAUCACUUAGCGGCGGACGGGUGAGUAAUGCUUAGGAAUCUGCCUAUUAGUGGGGGACAACAUCUCGAAAGGGAUGCUAAUACCGCAUACGUCCUACGGGAGAAAGCAGGGGAUCACUUGUGACCUUGCGCUAAUAGAUGAGCCUAAGUCGGAUUAGCUAGUUGGUUGGGUAAAGGCCUACAAAGGCGACGAUCUGUAGCGGGUCUGAGAGGAUGAUCCGCCACACUGGGACUGAGACACGGCCCAGACUCCUACGGGAGGCAGCAGUGGGGAAUAUUGGACAAUGGGGGGAACCCUGAUCCAGCCAUGCCGCGUGUGUGAAGAAGGCCUUAUGGUUGUAAAGCACUUUAAGCGAGGAGGAGGCUCUUUUGGUUAAUACCCAAGAUGAGUGGACGUUACUCGCAGAAUAAGCACCGGCUAACUCUGUGCCAGCCGCCGCAGUAA